UCCUACGGGGCGCAGCAGUAGGGAAUCUUCCACAAUGGGCGAAAGCCUGAUGGAGCAACGCCGCGUGGGUGAAGAAGGUCUUCGGAUCGUAAAACCCUGUUGUUAGAGAAGAAAGUGCGUGAGAGUAACUGUUCACGUUUCGACGGUAUCUAACCAGAAAGCCACGGCUAACUACGUGCCAGCAGCCGCGGUAAUACGUAGGUGGCAAGCGUUAUCCGGAUUUAUUGGGCGUAAAGGGAACGUAGGCGGUCUUUUAAGUCUGAUGUUAAAGUAUUUGGUUUAAUCGGAGU
rnacentral:rRNA from 1 species